rnacentral:rRNA from 1 species
GGCGGACGGGUGAGUAAUACUUAGGAAUCUGCCCAUUAGUGGGGGACAACAUUCGGAAACGGAUGCUAAUACCGCAUACGCCCUACGGGGGAAAGCGGAGGACCUUUCGGGGCUUCGCGCUAAUGGAUGAGCCUAAGUCGGAUUAGCUUGUUGGUGAGGUAAAAGCUCACCAAGGCGACGAUCCGUAGCUGGUCUGAGAGGACGAUCAGCCACACUGGGACUGAGACACGGCCCAG